rnacentral:rRNA from 1 species
AUUGAACGCUGGCGGCAGGCUUAACACAUGCAAAUAGAACGGUGGCGGGCGCAAGCUUGCUUUCUUGCUGACGAGUGGCGGACGGGUGAGUAAUGCUUGGGAGUUUGGCUUAUGGAGGGGGCUAACUACGGAAAACUGUAGCUAAUACCGCGUAAUAGCUGCGGAGUAAAGACUGGGACUUCUAGCCAUCCGCCAUAAGCUGAGCCCAAGUGGGAUUAGGUAGUUGGUGGGGUCAAGGCCUACCAAGCCGACGAUCUCUAGCUGGUCUGAGAGGAUGACCAGCCACACUGGAACUGAGACACGGUCCAGACUCCUACGGGAGGCAGCAGUGGGGAAUAUUGCGCAAUGGGGGCAACCCUGACGCAGCCAUGCCGCGUGAAUGAAGAAGGCCUUCGGGUUGUAAAGCUCUUUCGGUCGUGAGGAAGGCUAAUAUGUUUAUAGCAUAGUAGCUUGACGUUAGCCACAGAAGAAGCACCGGCUACCUCCGUC